UACGGGGGGGGCAAGCGUUGUUCGGAAUUACUGGGCGUAAAGGGCUCGUAGGCGGCCAACUAAGUCAGACGUGAAAUCCCUCGGCUUAACCGGGGAACUGCGUCUGAUACUGGAUGGCUUGAGUUCGGGAGAGGGAUGCGGAAUUCCAGGUGUAGCGGUGAAAUGCGUAGAUAUCGGGAGGAACAUCAGUGGCGAAGGCGGCUACCUGGCCCAAUACUGACACUCAGGUGCGACAGCGUGGGGAGCAAACAGG
rnacentral:rRNA from 1 species